UUGAGAGGCAGAGAAAAAAGCACUUUGGGAACAUGAACCAAAAUGCAUUAAGACGGUUUGUAAAUAUAUCAUCUACUGUUUGUGAAAGUUUAGUGUGUCAAGUGUUGUAUUAUCUCAAUGUUUUAGCAAUUCAUAUGAUGUAGGUGUUCUUAUAGCUCCAUUCCACAGAUGAGGAAACCUAGACCCAGAAAUAAUUUGUCCAAAGUCACAGAUCAGAAGUGGACAAGAAAUCAGGACUCAAACCCAAGCAGUUCCAUGACCUAGCGUGACCUUUAACCACAAAGCUCCACUGCCUCGCUCCUCUGCUGUGGAGAGAAGAUGGGACUUCAGUAACCAGAGGUGACUGGUAUAAGGUCCAGCACUAAAAACUGCACCCGGAGCUCACAGCAUCCCAUGGUUGUGAAGGGAGAACUGCCCUCAAAGACCCCCUUGUUCAAGUCCCAGUGGGGCCCACGUGUGUCCUUGAAUGACUCUCUCUCUAUAAACUCUCUCUAGUGGUUCCUUUUCUCAGAUCAUCCCAAUCCUGAUGCUCAGGCCCUCACAGAGAAAGCUUUUCCAGCCCUAUCCUGGGUUUCCCAGACUAUACUUUUUGUACAGGACUGUACCAAGGCCGUGAAGGCUUGGCAGCUGGAAACCAUAAUUCCUGGGCAGAGAUGGGGAUUCAUUCAGCCAUCUAUCAAAACAUCACAAAUUUGGGAAGAAGCCUAAAGCCAAUCAAAGAGCUUUCUCAGAUGUCAGUAAAGGAGAAUAAUUCCUUUAUCAGGUACUGAACAUUCUGUGAAGGACUCAAUCUAGAGCUGCAGCGGGGCAAGCCAAAUUCUCUGCUGGGUGAGAGGAAGGCAGCGGCCAUUCGCUCGGCUGGUGUCUGAGGAGAGCAUUUUGGCCUUGGAAAGAGGGAGCCCAGAUGAUGGAAGCCAAGGCCUCAAGACUGAGCACCUAGAAAAAGAAGCAGUGCUUCAAGGUGGGUAAGACUCACACUCCGGCCACUAUAGUUGCCAUCUGAAGAUAAACAGAGCUGGAACUGGGAAGCCUGGGCGGGUGGAGGCCUCUGAGACUGCAGUACAUUUGUGAGGGAAUUCAUAAAGAUUAUCUGGCAGGGAAUCCUUGAGCCCAAACCACCCACCAGAGGAGUGCCCAGUUUCCCAGGACAGGCCUGCCUCUGUGUCCUUCACACAGGGAUACUGUCAAGCUGGACAGCCGUGGGCUGUGUGGCCUCUGUCUGAAUGCUGUGAGCAGUUUCAGAGUGACCCAUGGGACCCUCUGUUCAUCAGCUGUGUGAGACCUGAGGGGCACAUUCUCAAGGCCUGCACAAGUACAUUCUAUAAGUUUGUCAGAAAUGUUUUUAGGUCAACGUUUAGUAACUACUUACUGGCUGACUAAGGAAAGCUAUUUAUUAAAGGUGCCUUUCAACCAACAGCAGGGUGACCAGGUUUCCUGUGUGUCUGUUAAGUAUUUUGUUUUAGGUAGAGCAGGGAAGCUGGUGGCUAUUAUGUUUCUGACUGCAGUGGAGGAAAAUGAUUGUCUCCUAGAGGUAACAAUAGGAGCCAGCUCAGAAUUGUCCUGCCUAAGAAAUAUCAACAAGAAAUAAUAACUAUCAGAAACCCACAUGAGUUCCUCAAAUGGUGUAACAGAGUUACAUAUGAUCCUGUAACUCCACUCCUUAGAUGUACACUUAAGAGAAAUGAAAGCAUAUGUCCACAUUAAAACUCAUACACAAAUCUUUUUAACGGCAUUAGUCCAUCAACUGGUGAAUGGAUAAACAAAACCAUGCUAUUGCCAUGCAAUGGGACAUUAGUCAGCCAUAAAAAGAAUGAUGUUCUGAUACCUGCUACAACGUGGAUGAAUGUUGAAAACAUUAUACUAAGUGAAAUAAGCCAGACACAAAAGGUGAGAUAUUGUGGAUUCCAUUUACAUGAACUGUCCAGAAUAGGUAAAUCUAGAGACUGAAAGUAGUUUAGUGGUUGCCUAGUACUGGGAGAUUGAAGGAUAAAAAAUAAGGGGUGUCAUUUGCAACAACAUGGAUGGA